AAAAAAAAGUAAAAUACGCUUAAUUUUGUUCAAUAGGUUUUGUACUGUUACUGGCCACACUCAAGUGCCAGCAUCAUGGCCAAAAAAUAUGCAGCACCAGAUAAAAACUUAUGGUCAAAGCAUGCUGUAAGGGUACUUUCAGAGACAGAUAGUUAUGCUAUGGCCAGAUACCGAGCACGAAAGGCACAGGACACAUCAAAUGUGGAAGAAUCUGAUGCUAAUGAAUCCAGAAAGAUCACUCUUCCACAUCGAUUCAGAGAUAAAGAUGACCAACCCGAUCUAAGAAAGAGAAGAGCUCCUCUAUGUAAGUGUAAAACAGUUUAUUAAGUACACCUGCCUGUUACUGACUUACUAAAUUACUUACUGGCCAUUUGUGUACCUUGUUGGAAUUUAUGUAUAUCUGCUGCUGCAUUUGCUAGCCGACACAUCAGACAUCAAACAGUAUCAGGCAUUUCUAUAAUGUCACUGUCACUGCUGUGCUUAUCAGGGUCAAUUCUAUCAGACAUUUAGAGGUGCUGAGCACACAACAAGAAGAAAAAGUAGAAAUACACGCUAACUCUUAUGUACAGGAAAUGUGUGUUACUUACAAGGGCGUAGGAGCGGGCUUGAUAUUGGGGGGGAGACACAUUUGCGAAUAUGAACCAAAGCCCACCCUAUAGUUUCCUAGAACAACAUUUUUG